UCUUUGACAUUGUGUGAUUUACGUACGCUAAUUGACCUCUCGCCGGCCCCUCCCCCAAAACGGCCAUUGUCCAAUCACACAUCAUAGCAACCGUUACUAUGUGAGCAGGUCCGACAAACAUUGACUCCAAGCAAGAUGGUGAAGGGGUGCACCCACGGCGUUUGUAAAUCGGACACUAGA